AGGGUAGGAGGGGUUAACAAUCACUAUGGGACAGGGUAGGAGGGGUUAACAAUCACUAUGGGACAGAGGAAAGGGGGGUUAAAGAUCAUUAUGGGACAGGGGAGAAAAAAAAAUAUUCUGAACAAACUGUCCCAUGGUAAGAAACACUAUGGAACAGUUUGUUCAGAAUAUUUUUUUUUCUGGGUUUCCUCCUCUAAAAACUAGGUGCGUCUUAUGGUGAGGUGCGU
rnacentral:lncRNA from 1 species